UUGUUUUUUUUUUGUAUUUCAAUUGUUUUUUUACCUUCACUGUUUAUGUGAAAAGAAAUUUAUUCAUUCUUUUCAACCAAAACUUUGUUGUGAUGAUCGAAUUCAUUUGAUUUUUGAUUGAAAAUUUCGAAUCUUAUUUUUGUUCAGAGAAAAUUUCCUAUCCGAAACCAUCUUGACUCAUUGCCCGAUGUUUGAUUAAAAGAAAAAAGAAGUGAUGAAAAAAAUGACUGCCAAAAAUCCUGGAUAUACCAUGAUUUAAAUUAAAAAAAAAUCCAUUUUCAUUCGAAAUGAUCCUGUUCAUAAAUGACGAAUGUUAAUGAUUCAAAGUGUUUUUUUUAAUUAAAAUUAAUCACAACACAAAAAA